GUUGUAUGGUUAAGUGACUAAGCGUACACGGUGGAUGCCUUGGCAGUCAGAGGCGAUGAAAGACGUAGUAACUUGCGAUAAGCCCAGAUUAGGUAGUAACAACCAUUUGAGUCUGGGAUUUCUGAAUGGGGAAACCCACGUGCAUAAGCACGUAUCCUUACCUGAAUACAUAGGGUAAGGAGGCGAACCGGGGGAACUGAAACAUCUAAGUACCCCGAGGAAAAGAAAUCAACCGAGAUUCCGAAAGUAGCGGCGAGCGAAAUUGGACUAGCCCUUAAGCUUUACACGCGUUAGACGAACGGUCUGGAAAGUCCGACGAUACAGGGUGAUAGUCCCGUAGUUGACGACGUGUGUUCAGUGAAAUCGAGUAGGGCGGGACACGUGAUAUCCUGUCUGAAUAUGGGGGGACCAUCCUCCAAGGCUAAAUACUACUGACUGACCGAUAGUGAACCAGUACCGUGAGGGAAAGGCGAAAAGAACCCCUGUGAGGGGAGUGAAAUAGAACCUGAAACCGUGUACGUACAAGCAGUAGGAGCAGGCUUUGUCCUGUGACUGCGUACCUUUUGUAUAAUGGGUCAGCGACUUAUAUUCAGUGGCAAGGUUAACCAUCUAGGGGAGCCGUAGGGAAACCGAGUCUUAACUGGGCGUUCAGUCUCUGGAUAUAGACCCGAAACCAGGUGAUCUAGCCAUGGGCAGGUUGAAGGUUGAGUAACAUCAACUGGAGGACCGAACCGACUAAUGUUGAAAAAUUAGCGGAUGACUUGUGGCUAGGGGUGAAAGGCCAAUCAAACCUGGAGAUAGCUGGUUCUCCCCGAAAGCUAUUUAGGUAGCGCCUCGGACGAAUACUACUGGGGGUAGAGCACUGUUAAGGCUAGGGGGUCAUCCCGACUUACCAACCCUUUGCAAACUCCGAAUACCAGUAAGUACUAUCCGGGAGACACACGGCGGGUGCUAACGUCCGUCGUGGAGAGGGAAACAACCCAGACCGCCAGCUAAGGUCCCAAAUUACUACUAAGUGGGAAACGAUGUGGGAAGGCUCAGACAGCCAGGAUGUUGGCUUAGAAGCAGCCAUCAUUUAAAGAAAGCGUAAUAGCUCACUGGUCGAGUCGGCCUGCGCGGAAGAUGUAACGGGGCUAAGUAGUAAACCGAAGCUGCGGCAAUAUACUUUUGUAUAUUGGGUAGGGGAGCGUUCUGUAAGCGGUUGAAGGUGUGUGGUAACGCAUGCUGGACGUAUCAGAAGUGCGAAUGCUGACAUGAGUAACGAUAAAGGGGGUGAAAAACCUCCUCGCCGGAAGACCAAGGGUUCCUGUCCAACGUUAAUCGGGGCAGGGUAAGUCGACCCCUAAGGCGAGGCCGAAAGGCGUAGUCGAUGGGAAACGGGUUAAUAUUCCCGUACUUCUUACAAUUGCGAUGGGGGGACGGAGAAGGCUAGGUGGGCCUGGCGACGGUUGUCCAGGUUCAAGUGCGUAGGCUGAGGGGUUAGGUAAAUCCGGUUUCUCUUAAGGCUGAGACACGACGUCGAGCACCUACGGGUGUGAAGUCAUUGAUGCCAUGCUUCCAGGAAAAGCCUCUAAGCUUCAGAUUGUAAGGAAUCGUACCCCAAACCGACACAGGUGGUCGGGUAGAGAAUACCAAGGCGCUUGAGAGAACUCGGGUGAAGGAACUAGGCAAAAUGGUACCGUAACUUCGGGAGAAGGUACGCUCUUGAUGGUGAAGUCCCUCGCGGAUGGAGCUGACGAGAGUCGCAGAUACCAGGUGGCUGCAACUGUUUAUUAAAAACACAGCACUGUGCAAAAUCGUAAGAUGACGUAUACGGUGUGACGCCUGCCCGGUGCCGGAAGGUUAAUUGAUGGGGUUAGACUUCGGUCGAAGCUCUUGAUCGAAGCCCCGGUAAACGGCGGCCGUAACUAUAACGGUCCUAAGGUAGCGAAAUUCCUUGUCGGGUAAGUUCCGACCUGCACGAAUGGCGUAAUGAUGGCCACGCUGUCUCCACCCGAGACUCAGUGAAAUUGAAAUCGCUGUGAAGAUGCAGUGUACCCGCGGCUAGACGGAAAGACCCCGUGAACCUUUACUACAGCUUGGCACUGAACAUUGACCCUACAUGUGUAGGAUAGGUGGGAGGCUUUGAAGCACGUACGCCAGUAUGUGUGGAGCCGUCCUUGAAAUACCACCCUUGUAGUGUUGAUGUUCUAACGUCGACCCCUUAUCGGGGUUGCGGACAGUGCCUGGUGGGUAGUUUGACUGGGGCGGUCUCCUCCCAAAGAGUAACGGAGGAGCACGAAGGUGGGCUAAUCACGGUUGGACAUCGUGAGGUUAGUGCAAUGGCAUAAGCCCGCUUGACUGCGAGAAUGACAAUUCGAGCAGGUGCGAAAGCAGGUCAUAGUGAUCCGGUGGUUCUGAAUGGAAGGGCCAUCGCUCAACGGAUAAAAGGUACUCCGGGGAUAACAGGCUGAUACCGCCCAAGAGUUCAUAUCGACGGCGGUGUUUGGCACCUCGAUGUCGGCUCAUCACAUCCUGGGGCUGAAGUCGGUCCCAAGGGUAUGGCUGUUCGCCAUUUAAAGUGGUACGCGAGCUGGGUUUAGAACGUCGUGAGACAGUUCGGUCCCUAUCUGCCGUGGGCGUUGGAAGAUUGAAGGGGGCUGCUCCUAGUACGAGAGGACCGGAGUGGACGAACCUCUGGUGUUCGGGUUGUGUCGCCAGACGCAUUGCCCGGUAGCUAAGUUCGGAAUCGAUAACCGCUGAAAGCAUCUAAGCGGGAAGCGAGCCCUGAGAUGAGUCUUCCCUGAUACUUUAAGUAUCCUAAAGGGUUGUCGGAGACUACGACGUUGAUAGGUCAGGUGUGUAAGUGCUGUGAGGCAUUGAGCUAACUGAUACUAAUUGCCCGUGAGGCUUAACCAUACAACACCCAAGGGGUUU
rnacentral:rRNA from 1 species